CUCCGGUAGUCCAUCCUGGUCCGGUUCCGUGAGGAGGCCGCGGCGCGUAAGUCAGUCCCGGUCCCGGUCCCGGUCCCGGUCCGGGAGCCGUGAACAGCGGACCGGUGCGGCUCUGCGGAGCGGAGGUCAGGUAACCCCCCCCCCCCCGGUCAUGGCUCGGACCGGGACCGGGACCGGGACGCUGCUGUCCCGCAGAAACGUGAAGCUGGACUCGUUCCUGAAGCGGAACAUGGAGCGCGCCGUGUACGAAAGGAUCCGCGUGCACGAGCCGUGCGUGGUUGUGUCCGACACCAUCAACAAGGUGUACAUGCACGUGGUUUUGAGCGACGAGCGCGUGUUCCUCACGGAGUACCCGCCGCGCACGCUCACCGUGGCCGUGAGCUUUGGGCGCGUGCGUGACAUCGAGCUGGUCAACGACCUGCCGGACUUCCUCCGAGGGAAGGACCAGGAGCGCUGCCAGCACAUUCGGAUCGUUUACGCCGUGGAGACGCCGCCGCCCAGGAGAAGGCGUGAUCGGCUGACCAGAGAACGUGGGGAGGAGCUUCCUCCGGUGACCCCGCCCCCUCGCAGUCUGACCCCGAAGAGCACAUCCGAAGGGCAUCCUCCAGACAGCAGCCUGGACCAGUGGACGGAGGAGGACCCCCCCCCAAUCCCGAAGCCCCUCCGCUCCGCCUCCUGUCCCAACCCACAGACCCUGAGCCUCCUGAAGGUCCCGCGCCCCCCUGGCCCCCCCUUCAGCUCACCGCCGUCCCCGUCCCGGCAGAGCCGGGCUCAGGGGCCGAGGAGGAUCAGCCUGAUCCUGGACCGUCUGCUGAGGAGAGACCGGGCGGACCCCAGCGAGGACAAGGGGGCGGAGCUUCAUCUGUACGCCGUCUCACACUCGUCCACCAUUUACCUUCAUCUGCAGAGCGCCUGGACCCGCUUCCUCACCAGGUCGACUCUGCUGUUGGAUCCGCUGCACAGGUGGAGGUGCAGCUCCGGCUGGGACCCGCCCCCCCCCUCCAACAGGUCCGGCUGGCUGCUGGGCCGGCUGAGCCGGGAGCUCCAGCGGGACGGGGUCAGCCCGGAGGCGUCCUGCCUGCUGCUGCGCGAGCUGAGGACGGCGGCCCGGCGGGAUGUGGCACUGCGCCGUCUCUUCUGGAGGGUGAGGACGGCGGGACAUGGCGCUGCGCCGCCUCUUCUAGAGGUCCGGGGACCUGUUCGUCUUCCUGGUUCGCAGUCUGGAGGACGGUCUUCAUGGUGUCCAGAGUCUCAGCGGAGGACUCUGGUCAGAUCAGCUCCUACUGAGCACUCUCAUCGUCCAGACGCUCGCCGUCAUGUUCAGAGACACCGAGGUGGAAGAAUCCAGGAUGGACCUGCUGUCUGCCAACAGGUGAUGGACGCACAAGAUGGACGAGGUAGAACUGCAGCUGGUAGGAAAUCGCCACGUCCGGGACUGCUGCAUCUUAUUGAUCACGGAGACUUGGCUACACGCCGGGAUCCCCGACGGCUCCGUACAACUAGCGGGCCGCGUGCUACACCGCUGGGACAGGAAUGUGAACUCUGGAAAGAGCAGAGGAGGAGGGCUCUGCCUCUACGUGCAUGAAGGAUGGUGCAACAACAGCACCGUCUUGGAGACCCACUGUUCCCCGGACCUGGAGUACCUGACGGUGAGAUGCAGACCCUUCUUCCUACCCAGAGAGCUAACUGUUGUUAUCAUCACUGCUGUCUACAUUCCACCAGACGCUAACGUUAGCGCAGCGCUCUCUCUGCUCCUCCACACCAUAAACAAGCACCAGAGGGCACAUCCAAACGGUGCAUCCAAACGGUGCUCAUAUUGUGGCAGGCGAUUUCAACAGAGCAAAUCUGAAAUCUGUCCUGCCACACUUUCACCAACAUGUCAGUCGUCCUGCCAGAGGGGAGAACACUCUGGACCAUGUUUAUACUAACAACAAACAUGCAUUCAGAGCCAUCCCCCUCCCCGCCUGGGCCUGUCCGACCACCUCUCACUGUUUCUCACCCCAGCUGCCGGCACACAAAGCCCACAAUGAGGACCAUCAACACCUGGCCCGAGGAUACCCUCCCCCAACUCCAGAACUGUUUUAAGGCUACUGACUGGGAGGUUUUCCACCUUGAGGACCUGGAGGCAUUCACCAAAGCUGUUUUGGACUACAUCAAGUUCCGUAUAGACCUUUCCGGGCUUACGUCACAAACGCGUCACAAUCCAAAAUGGCGGGUCGAGUCGGUGACAACAAGACUGUCGUCAGUGAGAAAACACAUCGGCCUCGGAGCGGUUUUGGCUUUUUUGUGCAUUUUUUUUUUUCUGUAAAACAGUAGCGGAAUGACGUAUAAGAAUUACAGGAACCUGCCCAGAGAGGCAAAAGUCCGCUACAAACAGAAAUUGGACUCAAUAGGCGUAACUUCGGAUGAACGUCCAUACAAACAGCCGAGAGGUGCUUGGAGUAACGACCCCACGAAAUGGCCAGAUAAUACACCUAUCUCACUGACACAACAGGAGUGUUUACCAGGGACAGCAUGAAAAACAAGAAGAGUCUGGGAGCCUACCAGUACUUCCAAUCUGGAUGGGCGAAGAACGUCUUAUCUUGCCACAUCCCAAAGACCAGAUACACGUUACUACAUGCCAACGUGAAACCGUC